CAAUACAGAAACACAACACAGUUCAUUAAAAAUACUGGAAAUAUUGAUUUUGGUCAGUCACUAUUAGUUUAUAUUUCAACUGUUUAAGUUGGUACAUGUUGGGCUUGUGUCCAAACUCAGUUUUCUCAACCGGGCCAAAGCUUUCAUACAAGUGGCUGUCUGCAGAAUAAUUUAUAUUUACAUUUCCUCCAUGCCAGGUUAAGCUGUUAAACUGUAGAAAAAAAACACUUUAUUUGUUAAGUGUAGGGAUCAUACUCAAUGUAUGUAGAGUUGUUAAGUAUAAACUUUCAUCCGUUUUUUUAUCUUUGGUUGUUCCCCACUUCCUGUCCCCCUGGCGAGUCAUCAAAAUGCAAAGAACAGAGAUUUAAAACGGAAUAACUCUGAGGAUUACAAGACAUGAGACCAUCAUCUUAAUGGAAAAAUAAGUUACAUUACACACAAAAAUGUAGACUAUUUUGGCACUAAAGACACAAGCUUUUUAUCUAUUAGUAUUUUUUUGGGGGGGGGCAUCACAUUUAAUAUCAGUUUUCAGUGAAAUUGUACCAUUAAUUUCGAUCCUCAGCCCUUGUCAUAGAAAUCUACGAGCUGUUGUUGCUAAACGUUUUAACUGUGAGACGGUGAUGACGUCAUUUCCCACGGCCGGAGUAGUGUCCAAUAUCAUUUUUGUAUUUUGCAGUUGAGUCCACUAAAUAGUCGACUAUAUGCAGCACACUAUAUAGUGGAUAGGGAGUAGGGAAUGAGUGAGUGGUUUCUGACACAGGCAUUAUAGCCAUAGGCGCAUUAACGCAUGGGCUACCUCAGUCUGCAGCCCAGGACCUCACACCUGGAGGGUCCUCUACUAAAAUUCCUCGAUGCUUGGGUUUCUGGUUAGUCAGCCUUUUCAUUUAGCAGAAGCAGAGUUAACUAAAGGAAAAAUGAAGCGUUCACAUCCCAGUGGUGCUCAGAAAACAAAACAAAUAAAAAAGAGUUAAUUCUAUAUUGAAAUUCUGCCAAAAGCCACAGACUUUCUUUCUCAAAAUGCUGGCUUUUCAACUGUAUUAAAGGGCAGCAUUUCUUUUGCAAACUACACUUUCUGUGAGCGCACACCAUUUUGCGCUGUUCUGUUUGUAUUUACUUUGUCGGCCAAACGCCUCAGUGAGUGCUGAGUGUCAGGACGAAGGCUCUGCAUCUCGAGGUGCAGUUUCUUCCCCAGCUGGUCAAGCUGGGUCAGGUGGUUAUGUUUUGGUUGGGAAUGCAAGUUUGUUGUGUUGCCUUUUUUUUGUUGCCACCACUUUUAAACAGAUUUUGCAUACUGGUUCGUCUGUGUUGAUGGGCUCAGCUUGCUCAUUCGGUUUGAAGCCGAAAAAUUCCCACACCAGGGCCGUGGCAUUUGGCUUUGCAAUCAUCUGUUUUAAUCCUAAUUUCUACCACGUUACCUUGCGUUGCUUCUUACGAGGCUCACUUCCUGCACUCUGUGUGUGUAUGCUAGCGGCCCCGCCUCCCCCCACAGAGACAAAGAGACUGGAUGUCUGACCACAGGGUUCACUCCGUUCAUUCUAUGGAACAAACGCGCCCAGGUGCUGAGACCGAUGCACAGAGUGAACCCUCUUGUCAUCCAGCCUGUUUGGAGGCGAGAGACGAGGAAAACAAACAUGCAUGCACAUGGCAAUAUAUCAAGGCUGGCAAAAUUAUUUAGUUCAUUUUCAUCUAUCAUGCAACUAAUUAAUUUAUUGAUUAUUGUCCCAGGCAUUGUGUCACAUACAUUUCUUUAUAUUUAUGUCACAUCUCCAGGUUGACCUAGUUAAGUUACUUUUUCCCUCAUGUUUCUAGUCUGUCAUUUCCUGUUUUAUUUUGGAUACUUACCUUGUGUCUCUUUUCCAGAUCACUCCUUCCUGCCCAUCCCUACCUGUUUCCCUGUGUCCUGAUCAUCCUCAUGUGUCUCACCUGUGUUGAUUGUCGAGUGACUGCACCUGGUGAUCCCCGGCUGAGUGUUCCCCUCCUCGUGUAUUUAGCUCAUUCACUCCCUGUCUGCUGUGCGAGAUCGUCUUGUUUCCUUUGUGUCCAAUUCCUUCGAGCCUUACUUCUGAUUGACCUUCGUGAUUUAUUUGACCCAGUUUCCCGUCCUAGUUUCCGAGUUAGCCUGCCGUUUUUUGUACCUCUGCCUGCUUGUUUUGACCUCCCGUGUAUCGAACCUUUUUCCUGAUUAAACGGACUUGAAAGUGCUUGA